UUUUGUAAAUGUAUUUUUAUUUUCACAUAAUGGGAAAACGAAUCACCGUAUAGAAGAUAUAACGCCCGCGGACUUGGGAGUUGGACACCCAGGAAGAAGAGACCAGCCAACUUGAACUCGAGACCUGCCGGGCAAGUGAGGACACAAGUAGACGUGAAGCCACAAGACCUCAGACACUGCAAUGCAGAGAGGAUAUGUGGACAUACUGGGAGCAGCCACAGAGGGAUCCAGCACAAUGAACGGCGGCGAUUUCAGUGCUUUACCCAGGAUGGCCAUGGCGUAUGUGCCACUUGUCUACAAAGUCUCAGUGGUCGAGGAAACCCAAGAGGAGGAGAGCUGACAGACCAAUGAGACUGAAGCUGCUUCGAGGAGGCGACCUGUCAGGCAUAAGUGACUUUGAUUUG